rnacentral:lncRNA from 1 species
GUUGGGACCCAGAGAGCAAGAGAGUGCUCCCCGGCGUCACCCUGCCCACUGGGGACACUCUCAUGCUCACCUUCACAGUCAGCUCCAAUAUCAAGUCUGUUAAUCCUUUCUCCAUUUGCCCUCUACCGCUGCAGAACUCUGAGUGAUCCCUGUGCUUCUGUAGCUGGUCCCUCUGUCUGCGAGCUGGGUCAUGCCGAAUGCCAGCCAUGGUCUCACACAUCUGUCUCCUCACUAGACAGCAAGUGCUGCUACAAGUUGUGCAACGUGCUUAAACAUCACACGCCGAACAGGAGGCAGAGCCUGUCUAACUUCAAAGCACACACUCUUCACUCUGUUAAACUGAUGGAGGGGAAAAUGAACAAAACCAAGUGCCGGCUGCGUCCAGGCUGAGCUGGAGGAAGGCCAUUACUGGAGAUCCCUGACUCCUGCCCAGCAUAUGAUGGAGGCCUGAGAAAAAAAUACACUAAGAGACAGAACUAAGAGAGAGACAGCAAGGUGCCAGGACAACCAAUGCCAGUGGAACCAUCAAAGGUGCUGGUCAGUCCAACCCACUGAUUUUUAUUGGUAAUCAAUUGGGGUUAAGGUAAACUAUGUGUGAGGAUAGGCAGUCAUGCAGUUUCUAUGGA